rnacentral:lncRNA from 1 species
GUGGUGACUUGCUGCAGCGCUUCUGCCGGUGACGCCGUGUCCUCCAGAACGCGGCAGCGCUGACACAUCAGCCGCCUGUCUGUGGCCACGUUACUCAAGUGACAGUGGCAAAGCGAGCUGUGAAAGCUCAUCGCUAGCGGGGGGAGACCUCCCUAGGGCUGGCGGCCACGUUUGGCCUAUAACAAGGACGUGUUCUGGGUUAAGCGUGACUUACACACACCGCCUCUUGCGAGAACAAAUUCCAGACCGUGGCUGGAUCCUGCUCGAAGGGAAUCCAAACCUUUGUUUCGACAUCCACGCCGAUGAAAUAGAAAACGAAUGUGGUAACGGGGAGAAACGAGCUCUUUGGAAACUUCUUGGAGAGCACUGGCACUGUGCGGCCUUGGCCUGGAUGUGGAGCCGAACCUGGGAGGGCAGAAGCGAGAAGCAGCAGGGUGAGGUGGCCACGCUGAAGCGUGAAGCCAGAGGGGCUGCUGCGUCCCGCACCGGCGGCAGCCUUCGUUAGGGCCGGCUCCGCUCCCUUCCGGCAGACACGGUUGUUUUCUCCCCUCCGUAAUGCCCCGAGCAGGAAGGGAAGAGGCAGCAGAGGCUGUUCUUCAUCGUCCUGCCCUCCCACCUGCACCGCUCGUGCUCUCCUUCCAAGCUUUCCUCCCUGCGGGAGAGCAGGGCUCUGCUGCAGCCCUUGCCUGAAGCAGCGUGCGGUACGGUGCCGCCCGCCCGCUGCGAGCGCGGCAGCUCGGCCUGCUCCGCCAGCUCGCCCGGUGGCUCACCCAUGUGUCCUCAAUUGCCAGGAAAGCUCCGUGGGCUGUGCUGGGGAGGGAUUUCCAAAAACUUCUGACCUUUGCUCAGGGGAUCUGCUCUUCCUACAGCUAUCCACCUCGACGCACAGUAGCGUACUUGAGCUGCUGACGAUGACUGAAGGCGAGCAAGCUGCUGCAGAGCAUCAGCAAGGAGCAGCCUUUGGGGCUGUCGGUGACGUGCAACCACUUCUUGGAGGCAAACCCUCGUCCCCCCUGCUGCAGAGCACUUCUGUGUCAGCCUCCCACCUCGCCACCUUGCAGGCUGUGCCUCUCGAGCCACCGAUCCUCCCGGUUCACGAUGAAGCACAGAUGGCUUGGCCUGGCUGCCCUCUGCCUGACAAGAGGACGGAACAAAAUAGCCGCCAGGCAUUUACCAGUCCCAGGACAUUCGGCUUUUUCCUGGCUUACCUCCGACCGGGCCAUUUUUGUGGGCUGACCACCACACGUGAUCCCAGGCGCAUCCAAAGAGCUGCAAAGGGCUGCCCUGCCACGACGCUUCUUCUGACCGUGCCCGUCUUUUCCAGCUGCAGAACGCAGAGGGCUCCGGGUUGUGUUCCCGCAGCCACGCAAGACAUCGCGGAACAGCUCUGCACGGCAGCAGUAACGGCGUGA